GAGUGAGUAGCUCAGUGGUAGAGAACUUGCCUAGCAAGCAUGAAGUCCUGAGUUCAAUCCCCAGCACCCA
rnacentral:tRNA from 1 species